rnacentral:tRNA from 1 species
GGCUAUAGCUCAGUGGUAGAGCGCAUGCUUAGCAUGCACAAGGUCCUGGGUUCAAUCCCCAGCACUGCUG